rnacentral:rRNA from 1 species
GACGAAGGGGGCUAGCGUUGUUCGGAAUUACUGGGCGUAAAGCGAGUGUAGGUGGUUGUCCAAGUUGGAUGUGAAAUCCCUCAGCUUAACUGGGGAACUGCGUCUGAUACUGGAUGGCUUGAGAUUGGGAGAGGGAUGCGGAAUUCCAGGUGUAGCGGUGAAAUGCGUAGAUAUCUGGAGGAACACCGGUGGCGAAGGCGGCAUCCUGGACCAACACUGACGCUGAGGAGCGAAAGCCAGGGGAGCAAACGGG